rnacentral:rRNA from 1 species
CCUACGGGAGGCAGCAGUGGGGGAUAUUGCACAAUGGGGGGAACCCUGAUGCAGCGACGCCGCGUGAGUGAAGAAGCGUUUCGGUAUGUAAAGCUCUGUCAGCAGGGAAGAAAAUGACGGUACCUGACCAAGAAGCCCUGGCUAACUACGUGCCAGCAGCCGCGGUAAUACGUAGGGGGCAAGCGUUAUCCGGAUUUACUGGGUGUAAAGGGGGCGUAGACGGGGAUGUAAGGCAGGAGGGAAAGCCCGGGGCCCAACCCCGGGACUGCUUUGGAAACUGGGUGACUGGAGUGCAGGAGGGGCAGGCGGAAUUCCUGGUGUAGCGGUGAAAUGCGUAGAUAUCAGGAGGAACACCGGCGGCGAAGGCGGCCUGCUGGACUGCAACUGACGUUGAGGCUCGAAAGCGUGGGGAGCAAACAGGAUUAGAUACCCGUGUAGUC